GGACAAGAAAGACCAGGUGCCUUGCUGGAAAAAACUAGAUCCUGCUGACCAUAGCAUUAUUUUGGAAAACUUCUGUUGGUGUGGGUGCCUUGUCUGGUGGGAUAAAGAAGGCCAUCAUACCUAAGAAACCACUGACUGAGCACUCUGAAGGAGAGUUAAAGGUUUUAAGAGAAUGAAGAAAAUUUCAAACGUUCACUAAGGAGAACGGGCAAAAGAGUUGACUAAGAAAAUAGAAAAGGAUACCAAGAAAUCAUUGAAGAAGAGAUUAAAGUUAGAGGACAUUAUUUUGUAUUUGUAUAAAUGUGCAUGUUUCCUCAAUUUUUCUCCAGCACAUACAUUACUCUGGGCAUGAGCACAGAAAGCAAGACAAUUGCCAGGAGAAUGUAAUGAAAAAUGAGUUGAAACACUGAAAAAGAUAAAGUACAUCAGUGGAAUAUGAACAGAUUAGGAAAUAAAAUAAAGAAGAUGAGUGGGCUGUGGAAAUAAAAGGAAUCACAAAACUGGAGGCUUAAUGAAGUUAAAGAACAUGUGGACUAGGAAAACCAAGAUGGUUGAAAAGACAGCAGAUUGUGAACACACAAAAAAUUCUGAGCUUAAAUUGUCAGCAGCAGUAAAGCAAUAUCAAGUAAUGAGAAUUCCAGCUGUGAGGCUGUAUGAGUGAUUUGCUGGAGAGGCACAGAAUUAUAGGUCAAUGGAGAUAAAGUCAUCCAUAAACUACAAACAAGGGAGUUGAAGGAGCCAUCCAGGGACAUUUAGAAAUGUGGUUUAGUCAAAUGGCAUGAAACUUUCAGAAAUAAAGGUAUGAAUACAUUAUGUUAAAUGUCAUAAAAACACCACUGUUAUGGUAUGAAACAACUUCACAAUUUCUAAAGGCUUAUUUUUCAUGCUUUAUACUUGAUGACUUGAUAUUAGCUUGUGGUUAAUAAUUUGUAACAAAUAUAACAUGAAUAAAGAUGCAACAUAAGCUAGGUAAGUUCUAUAAACUGAAUAGAACAUGGAAAAUUAGUACACACAGUGCUAUGGGGUGAUGACAAACUGAAAGCAAGUGUAUUGUUUUUGUUUUGUUUUGUAUUGUUUUGUUUUGUUUUGUGACGGAGUCUCUCUCUGUUGCCCAGGCUGGAGUGCAGUGGCACCAUCUCCGCUCACUGCAAGCUGCGCCUCAUGGGUUCACGCCAUUCUCCUGCCUCAGCCUGCCGAGUAGCUGGGACUACAGGCACCCGCCACUACGCCUGGCUAAUUUUUUUGUAUUUUUAGUAGAGACAGGGUUUCACCGUGUUAGCCAGGAUGGUCUCCAUGUCCUGACCUCGUGAUCCGCCCGCCUCGGCCUCCCAAAGUGCUGGGAUUACAGGCGUGAGCCACCGUGCCUGGCGAAAUCAAGUUUUAUAAUGAUGUUUUCCAUUUGUAUAAUAAAUAUUUCCGAGUAUUAACAUUUUAUCUUUCAUACUUUUUCAAAUGUAGUUCUUUUAAUACUCCAAUUAAGAUUUUCUUAUUACCUGAGGAAAGAAGUGAUUAUUAGCAUGGCAAAAAACAAGGAAUAGAGUAUGUUUUGAAAACUGUCAUGUUGAAGAUUUAUUUCUAUGUGCGUUAUUCUUCUGUAAACAUGUAAACAGAUAGUGAUUAAAAGUAAUAUAACUAUAAUAAUAAUAAUUUUACUUUAAUAAAAAUGCCAUACAAGACUCUAGUUUUUUAAGAGCUUGAUUACAUAAAACAUUUCAUAGUUGCUUAUGUUGAGGAUAUUAUUUCUAAAAACAAAGAAUGAAUCAUAUUGUAUAUAAACAAAAUGUAUUGAAAGUUGUUAUGCUAUGAAAAAGGAACUUAAGUAAUUAUCUGAAAUUCUAAUGUAAAUUCUUUAUAAAAACCUGCAGGCAUGAACACUGAUGCUGAAGACAUAGGAAGCCUUUUUCCCCUGAUCUGAAAUCACUUUUAGUAGAAUCAAAUGAUCUGGGAAUGGUGGUUCCAAAAUUUUGUUGCUAUCACUAGUUUAACUUGGCCUUUAUUUUUAUUAUUACUUCUACCACAAGAUGGGUGUUUAUGAAUGUGAGUGGUAUAAAUGGACAAAAACCUGAGGUAGCUUUCUUACUACCUCCCUACUUCUAGUUUUGCCUGUCUUCAUUUAUUCAGAUGACUUACAUUCAUUGCAACUUGUUAACUUAUGUAUUCACUGAUUCAUUCAUUUAUCAUUGCUUGUGUACCUGUAAAGAGUGUCAGCUAUAUUCUAAAUCUGUACUGUCCAAUACAGUAGCCAUACAUAGCUAUUUAAAUUAAUCUCAAACUAACCAAAACUAAAAAUUCAGUUCUGCAGACAUUCUAGCUACAUUUCAAGAGCCCAAAAACUCCAUAUGGCUGGGGGGUAGUUUAUUGGCCAGCACAGAUAUAGAACAUUUCUCUUAUCAUAAAACAUUCCAUUGGACAGUCCUAUUCUCAAGCAGAGGAAUGUAGAGAUACAAGUUGAAAUCUCUGCUGUGAAAGCUCAUGGAUCAUCAGAAAAAAAAAUUAAGAUAGAAGCAUCUUCAAGGAACUUUCGGUUAACAAAGAAUAAACAUCUAAAUGAAUCUGAAGAGAACAUGAAAUGAACAAAAUGAUGCCUGACAUGGAUUUAGUCAGGUGCUCAGGGAAAAGCAAGCAAAGGGAAUAUCAUUUGCAAUGCUCAUGCACCAAACAUAACAACGACAACAAAAAAACUAUAAUUUCAAGGACAUACAAAUAGUUUGAAAUGGCUAGAAUGUGGAGUGAUAUUCGAUGAGGUUUUCCAACAAGUCUCAUGUUUGGUUUAGUUUGGUUUCAUCUACAAAAUAGGAAUAAUAAUAGUACCUAACUCUUGAGGUUGAUGCUAUAAUUAACUAAUUUUAAUAUAUGAAGCACUUAUAACAGCUCUUGGUACUGGCAAGUAUUUAUAAGUAUUAACAAUUAUUAUUAUCAUUGUUAUAUAAUGUAUAUUAUUUUUAAAAGAUUGGAAGUAUGAUCAGUGACUUCAGAGUAAGAAACAGAGGCACACUCCUCAUCAGAACACCAUAGCCAGUGAUAUUCAGGAAAAGAAUUAAACUAAAAACCUCCUGAUCCUUCUGUUUCUUAUGGAGGGAGUGUGAAUGGUGGGAAAAGGAUGUCACUGCUUCUAGAUAUGCUGGUGGGGGAAAAGUCACAAACAAAUAGGAGAAAUAAAAAUUAGCUUAGAGUACAUAGAGCCAGAAUAUUUCCUGACUAUUGCAUGUGGGUGUGUGCUUUUAACUUACAAUUAUUUUCCUUUUUUUAACUUUACUUGAUAAGAAAAAAACAUAUCAGAAGUAUGAAGCUAAAAUAAAACUGUGUUUUCACUAUUUCUUUUUGUUUCUCUUUUUCCUGGUUCAAAAGAAUCAAGAUUAAAAACUGCCGAGAAUAUCCUAACACAGACUGUUCUUAUAAGAAUUUCAGUCGACGUUUGGAAACUUGAAAGGUUUGGGUGGUUUGGCUAAAGGUCAACCAAGAAUCAAACAUUUUAACUGCUUAUUCAGACUGAACUUUUCAACCAUCUCAUGUUGUUCUUUUUACUACUAUACAGUAAUGAUAAAAACCACUGUUUUUUUCUUAAUUUACUAAGGCAAAUAUUUGCAAAUACUAUACAAAUAGCAGCAUUUAAAUUUGUAACUAAUUUAUUUUUCUUGCAUUAAGCUAUGAGAGCAAUGUAAUCAUAAAAUCAUUCAUUAUUAAAGUGACCAGUUUAAUACUUCAAGCUAUUUUACUCAGUAAUAAAAGAGCUUCAAUAACAAAUGAAAUGUUCUUCUUUCCUGAAGGAGCAUAAAUUAUAAAAGUUUGUGAAUUUGAUUAAUUUUUUGGUAGUUUCCAUGAAGUAGUUGGUUAUAUUUGUGAUUGAUUGAAUAUAGGAGGGUUCUGAUUUUACAUGCAAGCUGAUUUUAAGGGGUAAGAAAGCUUUGAAUUUUUCUUUGACCCAAAUCAUUGGCAAUAAUUUUAUGCAUCACACUAUUACUCUUAUCAAUUAGGUUGAGAUUAUCUUUAUUAAUUGUCUCAGUCACAAUGCCCCAAGCCACAACUAGAAUUUAUAAAUCAGAACUGCAGGAGAGGAAACCUGGUCCUCAGAAUUUCUUUAAACUCUCACAAGUAAAACUGAUGAUCACCCUCUUAGAGCAGUAAUUUUCAGUAUCAACAGACUACCUUCUUUAUUUCUGGAUGGUAAAUAUAAAAGCCAUUCAUUUUGAUAAAAGGAUAAGAUCAAAUUUAAAACAAAAGUAUUUAUAUAUUACAUAAUUAUAAUGCAAUUUAUAUAAUAAAGUAAUAUGGAUUUCAAAAUAUAAAUCUUAGGCAGUACUACAGGAAAAUACAAAUUACAUUAAUCAAAUAUGUGUACUUACAAAGCAGUGACCUCCUUUUCCUAUCACUCACACUAUCCCCUCAAAAAAAAGAAGGGUCAGGAGGUUUUUAAAUUGCUUUCCUGAAUAUCACUGGGUAUGGUGUUCUGAUGAGGCAUGUGCCUCUGCUCCUCACUCUGUAGUAAGUGGUUGAUCAUACUUCCAAUCUUCUAAAAAUAAUAGUAGAAAUAUAAUAAUGCUAAUAAUUGUUAAUAUUUAUAAACACUUGAUAGUGCCAGGAGCUGUUCUAAGUACUUCACAUAUUAAUAAUUAAUUAAAUUUUAACAUGAAGAGUAAGAGUUAGGUACUCUUAUUCCUAUUUUGUAGAUUAAACCAAACCAAACCAAACAUGAAACCUGUUUAGAAAACUUCAUCGAAUUAUCACUCCACAUUCUAGCCAUUUCAAACUAUUUGUAUGCCCUGAAAGUAUUAUGCUUUUUUUCUGUUUUGUCCGUGAGCAUUGCAAACAAUAUUCCCUGUACCUGCGUAAGAGAGGGAAAAUGUCUUCUGUGUACCCUUCUAUGUUCUUUGGCCUAUGAAUUAAAUUGACAUAAGACAGAUUAACAGGAGAAAAUUAUUUUAAUUACAUGCGUUUGCACUGGAGUCCCACAAAACAUGAGAUUCAAAGAAGGGUCAGAUGAUUGAAGCUUAUAUGGCAUCCUGAGCUACAGAAAGGAAUUCCAUUCCCAUAUAUGUCAAAGAUGUCUCUGCCUGAGAGCUUUUUCUCAACUCACACGCUGUGUAAGGCUAGAAGUGACCACGAUUAAACCCUUAGUUGUUGCCACUCAUUCAUUUAUAGAAAUGAAUUGAAGGAUAAGUGUCUCAGGUUUUUUGAAAUUUGGAUUAGAAAACUUGGCCAUCUACCAGGGGUUUUCCUUAAGACUGAACCUUAGUGCCUCAGGGAUAACCUGGCUAGUUAAAGCACCUUUUAUUAAUUUUGUUUCCUCUCCUAUCUUACUUCCCACUUCUUUACUGAUUUUUCGUGCAGUUAAUUUGCAAUCAAAUCCUUUUCUUUUCUUUUUUCUUUUUUUUUUUUUUAAGAUGAAGUCUCACUCUGUCGCCAGGCUGGAGUGUAGUAGCACGAUUUCGGCUCGCUGCAACCUCCAACUCCCUGGUUUAAGUGAUUCUCCUGUCUCAGCCUCCCUAGUAGCUGGGAUUACAGGCAUGCACCGCCAUGCCCAGCUAAUUUUUGCAUUUUUAGUAGAGACGGGGUUUCACCAUGUUGGCCAGGAUAGUCUCAAUCUCCUGACCUCGUGAUCCACCCGCCUCAGCCUCCCAGAGUGCUGGGUUACAGGCGUGAGCCACCACACCCGGCCCAAAUCCUUUUCUUGAAGUAUGCCUCUAGGGAACUCAGCUAAAGAGUGUUGGUGAAGGAUGAGAUUCUGGAGUUAGAUCACUUGCUGUGCAAAUGUCAACAAGGCCCUCCUUGCUGUUAGUAACUGGGUUAAUAAUUAUCCACAGCAUCCUAUACAAUGCAACUACUCAUAUGGAUUAGAUUAGAAAACCCAGAAGACUUGUAGAAUUUAGCACUGGUUUAUGUAAUAGCUCUAGUGCUUAAAAGAAUGCUAAUUAUGCAUAUUGUGAUAUUGUUUGGUGAUUGUUAACACCAUAGAAGCCCCAAAGAAGGAAAGUAACAAACAUAGAAUAGCAAACAAAAUGACUUAUAGUGUGACUUUCAGAAAGUGUCCUUGGUGGCACUUUAGGAGACCCUUAUCAAUUCUGGCUAGAGACAGGAGUGUGUUGAAAACUACAAUCUUAAUUGUAACAAGCGCACACCACAAAGGAAGCUUAAUUUACAGCCAUAGCAGGGCUUCUCCUGUGUUAAAGCCAAAGCUGUGUUAACAAAUAAAUGAGACCCUUAGGCCAGAAUAUUUGGGUAGAGAUGCAUGCGAGAGGUGUUUAAACCUCUAGGUAGCCCUAAACAGUCUAAGCAGGAUGGGAAGAUUUCACUCUCCUUGCUGGAGAAACACAGCCUCAUACUAUUAUGAGAAGGACUCACCUGAAGUUAAGGCCCUGCCAAAUGAUUCUUGGCCUCCUUUAAGGUGUCUCCACCACUGCUCACAGCUUCUAGCCCAAUAAGGAAAUUCAAGUCUCACCACAGCUCAGGUAAAGUAUAGUUCCUGCUAUGGGAGGGAAAUUAUACACUAAAAGAAUUCUAGGUCCUGGCUAAUAUGUACCAGCAGAAAUCUGUAGAACAUGCUAGGCAAUUGAUCUUGAGGAUGUGGGACCAGAAAAGAUGAAGUAAAGGCCGGUAGAAAAUUGCUGACAUAGGGCCACUCACUCAUCAUUUAGAAUUGAAUAAUGCCUUAAGAAUGCUGGAGAUAGGUCUAAUAUGUUUCAAUAAUUAUUCCUUGAAGCUUGGAAACACCAAGUAAAUGAGGUAGAUAUGUCAGAACUGCUCCAGCAAUUAAGAAAGCAGACAGAAGUAUCAGAAAAGUGAGCAUGUACAAACAGAUUUAUUCUACAAGACCAGAAAAAUCACCAGCGGACAAUGUUUGAGGGUCCUGCAGCUGGACACCCGGGAAGGAGCUGGUUUUGGUCUGGUUUGAGCAUCAUGGAGCUGGACACCCAGGGAAGGGCUGUGUUUUUCUGGUUUGAGGGUCAUGGGGCUGGACAACCAGGGAGGAGCUGGUGUUUUUUUGGUUUAGGGGUCAUGGAGCUGGAGAUACGGUGCGGGGGUGGGGGCAGUGUUGUUCUAGUUUGAGGGUGGAGGAGCUGGAAAUCCAGGGGUAGGAGUGAUUUUCUAGUUUGAGGUCGUUUGAGGGUCAGCUGCACAACCCUCAACCUGGAGGGACACCAGCUCCCCCCUGGGUCUCCAGCUCCACAAACUUCUCACUGGAGAAACACUAGCUCCUCCCCGGAUCUCCAGCUCCAUGGCCCUCAGACUAGAGCCGCAUCAGCUCCUCCUCAGGUCUCCAGCUCUACAACCCUCAAGCUGGAACAGUGUCAGCUCCUCUCCAGGUCUGCAGAUCCACGACCUUCAAAUGAAAACAACAUCAGCUCCUCCUUGGAUCUCCAGCUCCAUGACCCUCAGACUUAAACAAGAGCAGCACCAGCUUCUCCCUGGGUCUCCAGCUCUAUGACCUUCAGACUUAAACAAGAGCAGCACCAGCUUCUCCCUGGGUCUCCAGCUCCAUGACCCUUGAAGUAGGAAAACAUCAGCUCCUCCUUGUAUCUCCAGCUCCAUGACCCUCUGAUCAGAAAAACAUCAGCUCCUCCCCAGGUCUCCAGUUCCACGACCCUCGAACUAGGAAAACAUCAGCUCCUCCCUGUGUCUCCAGCACCAAGACCCUCUGAUCAGAAAAACAUCGGCUCCUACCUGAGUCUCCAGAUACAGGAGCCUCAAACUAGAAAAACAUCAGCUCCUCCCAGGGUCUCCAGCUCCAUGACCCUCAAACUAGAAUAACAUCAGCUCCUUCCCAGGUCUCCAGCUGCACGACCAUCAAACUAGAACAUCAGCUCCUCCCCAAGUCUUCAGCUGCAUGACCCUCAAACUAGAACAUCAGCUCCUCCCAAGGUGUCCAGCUGCAUGACCGUCAAACUAGAACAUCAGCUUGUCCCCGAGUCUUCAGAUGCACAACUCUCAAACUAGAACACCAGCUCCUCUCCGGGUCUCCAGCUGCACGACCCUCACACUAGAAAGACGCCAGCUCCUCCGGGUUCUACAGCUGCAUGACCCUCCAAGUAAAAAAAACACCUGUUCCUCACAGGGUCUACAGCUGAACGAACCUCAGACUAGAAAAACACCAGCUCCUCCCCAGGUCUCAACCUGCAAGACCCUCAAACUAGAACAACAUAAGCUCCUCCCUGGGUUUCCAGCUCAAGGAACCUCAAACUAGAAUAACGCUAGCUUCUCCCUGGGUGUCCAGCUCCACUACACUCUGAUCAGAAAAACAUCAGCUCCUACCUGAGUCUCCAGCUUCAGGACCCUCAAACUAGAACAUCAGCUCCUCUCCGAGUCUCCAGCUGCACGACACUCAGACUAGAAAAACUCCAGCUCCUCCCAAGUUCUACAGCUACAUGACUCUGAAACUAAAAAACACCCUCUCCUGCCUAGGGCUUCAGCUGAACUAACCUCAAACUAGAACACCACCAACUCCUCUCUGGGUAUCCAGCUCCAUGACCCUCAAACAAGAAUAACACCAGCUCCCCCCUUGGUCUCCAGCUCCAUGACCCUUAAAACAGAACAACAUCAUCUCCUCCCCGGGUCUCAAGCUGCAUAACCCCCAAAAUAGAACAUCAGCUCCUUUCCAGGUCUCCAGCUGCAGGACACUUAUACUAGAAAAACACCAGCUCCUCCCGGGUUCUACAGCUGCGUGACCCUCAAACUAAUGAAACACCAGCUCCUCUCUGGGUCUCCAGCUGCACGAACCUCCAACUAGAACAACACCAGCUCCUCUCUGGGUCUCCAGCUCCAUGACCCUCAAACGAGAACAUCAGCUCCUCUCCAGGUGUCCAGCUGGAUGACCCUCAAACUAGAACAUCAGCUCCUCUCCGGGUCUCCAGCUGCACAACACUCAUACUAGAAAAACGCCAGCUCCUCCUGGGUUCUACAGCUGCACAACCCUCUAACUAAAGAAACACCAGCUCCUCUCUGGGUCUCCAGCUGCACGAACCUCAAACUACAACAUCAGCUCCUCUCCAGGUUUCCAGCAGCAGGACACUCAUACUAGAAAAACACCAGCUCCUCCUGGGUUCUACAGCUGCACGACCCUCAAACUAAAGAAACACCAGCUCCUCUCUGGGUCUCCAGCUGCAUGAACCUCAAAUUAGAACAACACCAGCUCCUCUCUGGCUCUCCAGCUCCAUGACCCUCAAACUGGAACAACAUCAGCUCCUCUCCAGGUCUCCAGCUGAGAGACCCUUAAAUGAGAACAACAUCAGUUCCUCCCCGAGUCUUCAGCUGCACGACCCUCAAACUAGAACAUCAGCUCCUCUCUGGGUCUCCAGCUGCAGGGCCCUCAAACUACCACAUCAGCUCCUCCCCGAGUCUGCAGCUGCACGACCCUCAAACUAGAACAUCAGCUCCUCUCUGGGUCUCCAGCUGCAGGGCCCUCAAACUACCACAUCAGCUCCUCCCCGAGUCUGCAGCUGCACGACCCUCAAAUUAGAACAUCAACUCCUUUCCGGUUCUCCAGCUGCAGGACACUCAAAUUAAAAAACGCCAGGUCCUCCAGGUUCUACAGCUGCACAUCCCUCAAACUAAAAAAAACUCCUGCUCCUUCCCAGGUCUCUAGCUGCACGAACCUCAUACUAGAACAGCACCAGCUCCUCUCUGGGUCUCCAGCUGCAAGACCCCCAAACUAGAACAACAUCCACUCCACCCAGGUUCUACGGCUGCACAACUCUCAAACUAAAGAAACACCAGCUCAUCUGCCGGUCUCCAGCUGCAUGAACCUCAAACUAGUACAACAGCUCCUCUCCGGGUCUUCAGCUGCAGGACACUCAUACUAGAAAAACGCCAGCUCCUCCCGGGUUCUACAGCUGCAUGACCCUCAAACUGAAAAACACCCGCUCUUCCCCAGGUCUCCAGCUGCAUGAACCUCAAACUAGAACAACAAGUCAAUACGAGAAAAACGCCAGCUCCUCCCGGGUUCUACAGCUGCAUGAUCCUCAAACUGAAAAACACCUGCUCCUCCCCAGGUCUCCAGCUGCACAAACCUCAAACUAGAACAACACCAGCUGCUCUCUGGGUCUCCAGCUGAAUGACCCUCAAACUAGAACAUCAGCUCCUCCCUGAGUCUUCAGCUGCACGACCCUCAAAAUAGAACACCAGCUCCUCUCCGGGUCUUCAGCUGCAAGACACUCAUACUAGAAAUUCACCAGCUACUCCCAGGGUCUGCAGCUGCACAACCCUCAAACAAAAAACACCAGCUCCUUCCCAGGUCUUCAGCUGCAAGACCCUCAAACUAGAAAAAUACCAGCUCCUCCCCAGGUCUUCGGCUCCAUGACCCUCCAAUUAAAACAACAUCAGCUCCUCCCGGGUCUCCAGUUGCACGACGCUCCAAUUAGAACACCUCUCCCCGCUGGAUCUCCAGCUCCAUGACCCUAACAGAAGAACAGCAACACCAGCUCCUUCAUUGGUCUUCAGCUCCACAACCUAAGACAUCAGUGGCAGCACUGGCUCCUCUGUGGACCUCCAGCUCAACGACUCUCAGACUUAAAAGGCAGCAACGUCUCCUCCCCAGGGCUCCAUCUCCACCACUCUCAGAUUUGAACAGCGGUCGCACCAGCUCCUGUCCGGGUUUUCAGCCCAAUGACCCUCCCUGAACAAUCCCUUCUCAUGAAAUUCAGCAGUCAAGUAAAUGAAUAAAUGUUUUGUUUUCAAAUAAUAAAAAUAAAAAUAAAUAAAACUCAGUGUUAGUAUGAACAUGGAGAUAAAUCAAACUAAAAAUUUUUAAUGAUACAAGUCAUUAUAUUUAGAUAUAUAUCUAGAUAAUAUAUUUAGAUAAUCUAAAUAUAUUUAGAUAAUAUAUAUGGUGCUAUAGGGGAGGAAAAAUACCUCUCUUUUUUCCAUCUUAGGCUACUGGCUGAGGCCACAUAACAAAAG
rnacentral:lncRNA from 10 species